UACAGAGGGGGCAAGCGUUGUUCGGAAUUACUGGGCGUAAAGCGCGUGUAGGCGGCUCGGCAAGUCCCGUGUGAAAUCCCUCGGCUCAACUGAGGAACUGCACGGGAGACUGCCGGGCUUGAGUUUGGGAGAGGGAUGCGGAAUUCCAGGUGUAGCGGUGAAAUGCGUAGAUAUCUGGAGGAACACCGGUGGCGAAGGCGGCAUCCUGGACCAACACUGACACUGAGGAGCGAAAGCCAGGGGAGCAAACGGG
rnacentral:rRNA from 1 species